AGCUCAGUUGGUAGAGCAGGGGACUGAAAAUCCCCGUGUCGUUGGUUCGAUUCCGACC
rnacentral:tRNA from 1 species